UACAGAGGUCCCAAGCGCUACUGAGAAUCACUGGGUUUAAAGGGUGCGUAGGUGGUCCGUUAAGUCAGUUGUGAAAUCCCCGGGCUCAACCCGGGAACUGCUUCUGAUACUGGCGGACUUGAGGCCAGUAGGGGUCACUAGAACUGACGGUGGAGCGGUGAAAUGCGUAGAUAUCGUCAGGAAUGCCGGUGGUGAAGACGGGUGACUGGGCUGGUUCUGACACUGAGGCACGAAAGCGUGGGGAGCGAACGGG
rnacentral:rRNA from 1 species